CCCAUCACCACCGUCCUAUACCUUCCGCGGCCGUAACCUUGGCGACGGCCCAGCCUCUCUGUCCGGCGUCCAUCCCAUAAUGGCUCCAUUACGGAGGUUAUUGUCGUUGGCUGAACCUGAAAGGUCUGGCGUGCGUUUUAGAACCUCAGGAGCCGACAUGUGUCAUCAAACCCGGGUCCCGACCGCCGCCGCUGAACAAAACGCACAUCAGCGCCGUGCACGAGGAGGGACGCGGGUUAGGAUCCGAUCGGGCCCGGACGGCGCAGGGGUGAUAAUAGGAGCGCCGUUGGAUGUUUUAAAAGGCAAAGCUCGAGAGACCAACUGCUUCCAGAGGCGUUAUUCCACGCUGCGCUGGAGGAGAACGCUGUUCUGACGUCUAACGCUGUGAUUUAGGGAAUCUGUCUUGUGCUACCUUGGGACAAUCUGACUUGAAGUGUGAUGUGUAGUUCCUUCAGUGCAUUUGUCACGACGCCAUUCAGUGCAACAACAAGAUAAACAUCCCACUAUGAUUCAGUGAAACAGCAACAGUAUAAAUACAUCCUAUUCAUUCUGUGUUUGUGUUUUCAUUUUUUUUUUGCUUAGCUCCCACCUGCCUCAUCAUCAAUUAUGUAUUCAAAAUGUUUAGCACACACACACACACACACACACACACACACACACACACACACACACACACACACACACACACACACACACACACACACACACACACACACACACACACACACACACACACACACGCACACGCACACCAACCCACACACGUACUUUUCAUCUUUAGGCUUUUGUUUCUUUCAUGAGUGCAUCUCUAGCUCCCCCUGCUGGCCGUCCGGAUAAUACUUUUCUUCACGGCUGCUUGUGAGAUGACGUCUGGUUUCGUUUGUUACGUACUUCGAUCCAGGACCCAUUCAUAGAUAACAGACACCUUGAGAUCACGACCCCAGCUGACACAAUGCAACUGAAUGAUUUUACUAGAAAACUUCAAGUCAAAUUGGUCUGUUUUACGUGUGUGUUCGGUGCUCUUGUCUCAUUAUUAAAUAUAGAUAUAGUAUAUCAUACAUAUAUACAUAAACGUUAUUCUCAUAGGUGGUACUUGAUGGCAUAUUGUCUGUGUAGAUCCCCUUCAUCUGGAAACCCUCCUGAGUACUAUUGAAUGUUUGGUUAAUGUAUUUUUAUUUGGCUGUAGAAGAAGUUACCAGCAAAUUCAAAAACAUUCUAUUUUUUUGUUUUCUGUGAUCAAACAAAGUGGCCAUGAAUUCAAAGUCAUAUUAUCAAUCGAUCUGGUCUUCUGAAUUGUGUUGGGCAAUACUCUUCUAAUGGCAAUAACAACCGCAUCCACAAUGAAUAUUUUGGAGCGUCAUAUACAUAGCAAAAAAAUGAUACUAUUGUUUUGUAUUCGUUUUUUUUUAGUACAUAUCAGGAAAACUGUGAAGCCGCCUCCGUCCCAAAAUGUGGAACACCAGGGAGGAGAGACUGAAGCCAUAUCCUCAUCAUGUUAGUACGACCAGCAUGAAGCUCAUGGUCUGAGUCUGUCCCUGGUCAGGAACGGCCGAGCCCCUAACCCCCCCUCCCAAACUCGAGUUCCACCCGUCAGUGUCAGCUGUGUGUCCGUCAGUACAAUCAACUUAUCUGAACUGUUUCCCAUUUCAGCCCAACGUGUCGACGAUAACCAACGUACUGUUUGAACCGUGUUUCUCUUCCGUUCUACUUUGUUGUUUUUCUAUCUUUUUUUACGGCUGUUUCUUUGUGCGGAGGCAGAGUAGGCGACAGUAUAAAACACCUCUACCUCGGAUCCUUCGCUAGACGCUCUCGCAUUCACGAGUCGAACGCAACACGGCAGAUCCCGCUCUUCCAAAUUCACCCGCACUCAGAUUAAAGUUCUGUACGGCAUCGCUGAUGAGCGGUAGCUUGUCGCUAGCUACUUCCUGGCUUCUUCCUAGCUACUUCCUGGCUACUUCCUUCUGAUAAAAAAAAAAGUCUUCCAACCCAUUCAGAAGCCCUCUGGCCCCUCCUCCUCUUUCUGGGGAAUUCUGGGUAAUCUCAGACCUUUCUUCUCGUCUUCCAAAACCAGACUAUACGAAAACGAAAAGCCAUGCCCCACAAAAUGGCCCCAAUCGCAAUCACUCAUUCAUCGAUUUGUUCACCCUGCGCCCCUCCCCCCCACCCCCAAACGGCCCGCCCCUCCCUCCAGUGGGGCCUUGACCUCCCGGGUAGCAGGGCGAGACUCCUGACCCCAAACAGAGCCACCGGCAUAACAGGUCAAAGGUCAAACAUGACCUUCACUGACGACCAGCAGCCCCGGGAGGAUCACACCACGGGAACGCUCCUCUGGAGGAAACUUUCCACUAAAGGGAAACUUUCCGAUGAAGGGAACUAUCCAACAAAGGACGGACUCACUAGACCAGCACAAAGACUCAGCGGUCUAAAGUUAAUAAAAAAUACGAAACAAAAGAGAAACGUCCCAUGUUGACAUGGGACACCUUUUUGCGAAGCAUGCAUACUUCACUGUUGGUGACACCGGUGAGCGUCUGUGUAUUAGAGGCACAGCCUCACUGACUCAUCCCAGCCGUGUGCAUUUUUACAGUGACACUCUUCAUCUACUCAAGGAAUAUAACUUAUAAUGGAGUAUUACUCAAUAAAAAUGACAUAUAUUUGUAUGAUUGUAAA
ensembl:lncRNA